UCCGGUUUGACACCGGCAGUCUCGCUAGAGUACUGGCUUGCGCCGAGCAACUAACGACAGGGGUUGCGCUCGUUAAGGGACUUAACCCGACACUUCACAGCACGAGCUGACGACAGCCAUGCAGCACCUGUGUACGUUCCACCCUUGCGGGCGUGGCCCCUCUUUCAAGGGGUUAAUCCGUACAUGUCAAGCCCAGGUAAGGUUCUUCGCGUUGCCUCGAAUUAAGCAACAUGCUCCACCGCUUGUGUGAGCCCCCGUCAAUUCCUUUGAGUUUUAGCCUUGCGACCGUACUCCCCAGGCGGCACGCUUAUCGCUUUUGCUUCGACCGAGCCGGCGUCAGAGCCACCCCGAUCUAGCGUGCAUGGUUUACGGCGUGGACUAC
rnacentral:misc_RNA from 1 species